CAAAAAUUGAGCAUUUGCUGCCGGCAAAGGCACACGUUUGCAAAUGCUGAACAGUUGUGAGCCAUUAGAAAGGAAUCAGAAGGGAGGGAGCCUCCAGCCUCACAUAUUCCUAAGAAGGGCUCUGGAUAUGAAGCCCGCUUGAGAGACAGGAAAGCUGCUGCCAGAGGACGAGAGAUGGUAAAUCAGCAGCACAAAGAAACCAAAUGGCUGUGACUAGGAAUGAGAACUCUUGAUCACUAGAUGGCUGUU